rnacentral:rRNA from 1 species
GUGGCAGCCGCCGCGGUAAUACAGAGGGUGCGAGCGUUAAUCGGAAUUACUGGGCGUAAAGCGAGUGUAGGUGGCUCAUUAAGUCACAUGUGAAAUCCCCGGGCUUAACCUGGGAACUGCAUGUGAUACUGGUGGUGCUAGAAUAUGUGAGAGGGAAGUAGAAUUCCAGGUGUAGCGGUGAAAUGCGUAGAGAUCUGGAGGAAUACCGAUGGCGAAGGCAGCUUCCUGGCAUAAUAUUGACACUGAGAUUCGAAAGCGUGGGUAGCAAACAGGAUUAGAUACCCUGGUAGUCCACGCCGUAAACGAUGUCUACUAGCCGUUGGGGUCCUUGAGACUUUAGUGGCGCAGUUAACGCGAUAAGUAGACCGCCUGGGGAGUACGGCCGCAAGGUUAAAACUCAAAUGAAUUGACGGGGGCCCGCACAAGCGGUGGAGCAUGUGGUUUAAUUCGAUGCAACGCGAAGAACCUUACCUGGUCUUGACAUAGUGAGAAUCCUGCAGAGAUGCGGGAGUGCCUUCGGGAAUUCACAUACAGGUGCUGCAUGACUGUCGUCAGCUCGUGUCGUGAGAUGUUGGGUUAAGUCCCGCAACGAGCGCAACCCUUUUCCUUAUUUGCCAGCGGGUUAAGCCGGGAACUUUAAGGAUACUGCCAGUGACAAACUGGAGGAAGGCGGGGACGACGUCAAGUCAUCAUGGCCCUUACGACCAGGGCUACACACGUGCUACAAUGGUAGGUACAGAGGGUUGCUACACAGCGAUGUGAUGCUAAUCUCAAAAAGCCUAUCGUAGUCCGGAUUGGAGUCUGCAACUCGACUCCAUGAAGUCGGAAUCGCUAGUAAUCGCAGAUCAGAAUGCUGCGGUGAAUACGUUCCCGGGCC